rnacentral:rRNA from 1 species
AUUGAACGCUGGCGGCAUGCCUUACACAUGCAAGUCGAACGGCAGCACGGGAGCAAUCCUGGUGGCGAGUGGCGAACGGGUGAGUAAUGUAUCGGAACGUGCCCAGUCGUGGGGGAUAACGUAGCGAAAGCUACGCUAAUACCGCAUACGAUCUGUGGAUGAAAGCGGGGGACCGUAAGGCCUCGCGCGAUUGGAGCGGCCGAUAUCAGAUUAGGUAGUUGGUGGGGUAAAAGCCUACCAAGCCGACGAUCUGUAGCUGGUCUGAGAGGACGACCAGCCACCGUGGGACUGAGACACGGCCCAGACUCCUACGGGAGGCAGCAGUGGGGAAUUUUGGACAAUGGGCGCAAGCCUGAUCCAGCAAUGCCGCGUGCAGGAUGAAGGCCUUCGGGUUGUAAACUGCUUUUGUACGGAGCGAAAAGGCUCUCUCUAAUACAGGGGGCUCAUGACGGUACCGUAAGAAUAAGCACCGGCUAACUACGUGCCAGCCGCCGCCGUAA